CUGCUCUUUUUCAGUGGCACAGAUACUAAAACUGGAAUGAUACAGAGAAGAUUAACAUGGCUCCUGCAAAUGGAUAACAUUUGCAUCAUGAAGCAUUUCACAUUCUU